rnacentral:rRNA from 1 species
GAACGCGCUGGGAAUACCAGGUG